rnacentral:rRNA from 1 species
GACGAACGCUGGCGGCGUGCUUAACACAUGCAAGUCGAGCGAUGAAGUUCCUUCAGGAAUGGAUUAGCGGCGGACGGGUGAGUAACACGUGGGUAACCUGCCUCAUAGAGGGGAAUAGCCUUCCGAAAGGAAGAUUAAUACCGCAUAAGAUUGCAGUAUCGCAUGAUAUAGCAAUUAAAGGAGUAAUCCGCUAUGAGAUGGACCCGCGUUGCAUUAGCUAGUUGGUGAGGUAACGGCUCACCAAGGCGACGAUGCGUAGCCGACCUGAGAGGGUGAUCGGCCACAUUGGGACUGAGACACGGCCCAGACUCCUACGGGAGGCAGCAGUGGGGAAUAUUGCACAAUGGGGGAAACCCUGAUGCAGCAACGCCGCGUGAGUGAUGACGGUCUUCGGAUUGUAAAACUCUGUCUUCAGGGACGAUAAUGACGGUACCUGAGGAGGAAGCCACGGCUAACUACGUGCCAGCCGCCGCCGUAA